rnacentral:tRNA from 5 species
GCCAGCUUAGCUCAGUUGGUAGAGCAUCGGUGUCGUAAUCCGGGGGUCACAGGUUCGAGCCCUGCAGCUGGCA